rnacentral:rRNA from 1 species
GGGUUGUGCUGGCUUUUUGGAGCAUGUGCACGCCUAGCGCCAUUUUUACCACCUGUGCACCUUUUGUAGAUUUGAAACAACUCUCGAGGAAACUCGGUUUGAGGAAUGCUGUGUGCAAACAUGGCUUUCCUUGUGUUUCAAGUCUAUGUUUUUAUUAUACCCCAUAAGAAUGUAAUAGAAUGUUAUUAAUGGGCUUUAUGCCUUUAAAUUAAUACAACUUUCAACAACGGAUCUCUUGGCUCUCGCAUCGAUGAAGAACGCAGCGAAAUGCGAUAAGUAAUGUGAAUUGCAGAAUUCAGUGAAUCAUCGAAUCUUUGAACGCACCUUGCGCUCCUUGGUAUUCCGAGGAGCAUGCCUGUUUGAGUGUCAUUAAAUUCUCAACCUUUUCAGCUUUUGCAAGUUGGAUUGGCUUGGAUGUGGAGGUUAUUGCGGGCUUCUCUAGAAGUCGGCUCCUCUUAAAUGCAUUAGCGGAACCUUUGUGGACCAGCUUUUGGUGUGAUAAUUAUCUACGCCAUGGUUGUGAAGCAGCUUUAACAUGGGGUUCAGCUUCUAACAGUCCAUUGACUUGGACAAAUUUAUGACA